AUGCACAAAGGAGAUUGCCUACUUGAUUUUAAAAAUACACAGAGGACUCAGAUAGGUGCCUGGAGAUCUUUUAGAGCUGUUAGGGAGGUGAGAGAAGAGCAAGGGGGUGAUGGAAUUAGACAAACGUGGAGUCAACCACGGGUGACCUUGGGAGUCGUCAGAGGACAUGACUUCAUGGAGGUCUCUGGACCCAGGGGAGAGGAAAGAGAUCUUGGAGGGGUGAUUAAAUGCAUCGCCAGUGUUUGUCUGAUCAAGAAGCAAGCUCUCGGCUUUCCUGGCCUGCACCUUUAAGAACUGCAAGAACAG
rnacentral:lncRNA from 1 species